UAGUCCACGCCGUAAACGAUGGUCACUAGCUGUUUGGACUUCGGUCUGAGUGGCUAAGCGAAAGUGAUAAGUGACCCACCUGGGGAGUACGUUCGCAAGAAUGAAACUCAAAGGAAUUGACGGGGGCCCGCACAAGCGGUGGAGCAUGUGGUUUAAUUCGAUGAUACGCGAGGAACCUUACCAGGGCUUAAAUGUAGGAUGCAUAGAGUAGAGAUAUUCUUUUCUUCGGACUUCUUACAAGGUGCCGCAUGGUUGUCGUCAGCUCGUGCCGUGAGGUGUCAGGUUAAGUCCUAUAACGAGCGCAACCCCUGUCGUUAGUUGCCAUCAAGUAAAGUUGGGGACUCUAACGAGACUGCCGGUGCAAACCGCGAGGAAGGUGGGGAUGACGUCAAAUCAUCACGGCCCUUACGUCCUGGGCUACACACGUGCUACAAUGGUAGGUACAGAGGGUAGCUACCCCGUGAGGGGAUGCGAAUCUUUAAAACCUAUCUCAGUUCGGAUCGGAGUCUGCAACUCGACUCCGU
rnacentral:rRNA from 1 species